UUGCUUCUCGGCCUUUUGGCUAAGAUCAAGUGUAGUAU
rnacentral:snRNA from 1 species